UACGUAGGUGGCAAGCGUUGUCCGGAUUUAUUGGGUUUAAAGGGUGCGUAGGCGGUCCUAUAAGUCAGUGCUGAAAUAUCCCGGCUUAACCGGGAGGGUGGCAUUGAUACUGCAGGACUUGAGUAGAGUUGAGGUUGGCGGAAUUGACGGUGUAGCGGUGAAAUGCUUAGAUAUCGUCAAGAACACCGAUAGUGAAGACAGCUAACUAAGCUCUAACUGACGCUGAGGCACGAAAGCGUGGGGAGCAAACAGG
rnacentral:rRNA from 1 species